rnacentral:rRNA from 1 species
UAUUGCACAAUGGAGGAAACUCUGAUGCAGUGACACCGCGUGCAGGAAGAAGGUUUUCGGAUUGUAAACUGCUUUAGACAGGGAAGAAACAAGACAGUACCUGUAGAAUAAGCUCCGGCUAACUACGUGCCAGCAGCCGCGGUAAUACGUAGGGGGCAAGCGUUAUCCGGAAUUACUGGGUGUAAAGGGAGCGUAGACGGUGAUGUAAGUCUGGAGUGAAAGGCGGGGGCCCAACCCCCGGACUGCUCUGGAAACUAUGUGACUGGAGUGCAGGAGAGGUGAGCGGAAUUCCUAGUGUAGCGGUGAAAUGCGUAGAUAUCAGGAGGAACACCAGUGGCGAAGGCGGCUCACUGGACUGUAACUGACGUUGAGGCUCGAAAGCGUGGGGAGCAAACAGG